GACGAACGCUGGCGGCGUGCUUAACACAUGCAAGUCGAACGGAAAGGCCCUGCUUGCAGGGUACUCGAGUUGCCAACGGGUGAGUAACUAGUAGGUGAUCUACCCUGCACUUAGAGAUAAAUCUGUGCAACUGGCCCUAACACCGGACAGGAGACAUUUUUAAUGUCAUGGUUGGAAAGUUUUUUAUGUUUAUGCUGUGCUCGCGACCUAUCAGCUUGUUGGUGGGGCAAUGUCCUACCGAGGCGGCUACGGGUAGCCGGCCUGAGUGGGUGAACGGCCACACUGGGACUGAGAGAAGGCAGAGGUACCUACUGGAGGCAGCAGGGGGGAAGAUUGCACAAUGGGCGCAAGCCGGAUGCAGCGACGCUGCGUGGGGUAAGACUGUCUUCGGGGGGAAAACUCCUUUCGCAAGUGACGAAGCUUUUUGUGACGGUACCUAGAUAGGAAGCACCGGCUAACUACGUG
rnacentral:rRNA from 1 species